AACGAACGCUGGCGGCAUGCCUAACACAUGCAAGUCGAACGAGAUCCUUCGGGGUCUAGUGGCGCACGGGUGCGUAACGCGUGGGAAUCUGCCCUUAGGUUCGGAAUAACAGUUAGAAAUGACUGCUAAUACCGGAUGAUGACGUUAAGUCCAAAGAUUUAUCGCCUGAGGAUGAGCCCGCGUAGGAUUAGCUAGUUGGUGUGGUAAAGGCGCACCAAGGCGACGAUCCUUAGCUGGUCUGAGAGGAUGAUCAGCCACACUGGGACUGAGACACGGCCCAGACUCCUACGGGAGGCAGGAGUGGGGAAUAUUGGACAAUGGGCGCAAGCCUGAUCCAGCAAUGCCGCGUGAGUGAUGAAGGCCUUAGGGUUGUAAAGCUCUUUUACCCGGGAUGAUAAUGACAGUACCGGGAGAAUAAGCCCCGGCUAACUCCGUG
rnacentral:rRNA from 1 species